rnacentral:rRNA from 1 species
AGAGUUUGAUCAUGGCUCAGGACGAACGCUGCGGCGUGCUAACACAUGCAAGUCGAGCGAGAAAGCCCCUUCGGGGUGAGUACAGCGGCGAACGGGUGAGUAACACGUGGGCAACCUGCCCCGGAGACUGGGAUAACGUUCCGAAAGGGACGCUAAUACCGGAUGAUGCGCGACCUGCCAAGUGGGUCGCGCCGAAUGGUAGCUUCGGCUUCUGCUCUGGGAUGGGCCCGCGCCGGAUUAGCUUGUUGGUGAGGUAACGGCUCACCAAGGCGACGAUCCGUAGCUGGUCUGAGAGGACGAUCAGCCACACUGGGACUGAGACACGGCCCAGACUCCUACGGGAGGCAGCAGUGGGGAAUCUUGCGCAAUGGGCGAAAGCCUGACGCAGCAACGCCGCGUGCGGGAAGAAGGCCUUCGGGUUGUAAACCGCUGUCAGGAGGGACGAAGCCACUCAGGUGAAUAGCCGAGAGGGUGACGGUACCUCCAGAGGAAGGUCCGGCUAACUACGUGCCAGCAGCCGCGGUAAUACGUAGGGACCUAGCGUUGUCCGGAAUUAUUGGGCGUAAAGCGCGUGUAGGCGGCUCGCCAAGUCCGAUGUGAAAGCUCGGGGCUCAACCCCGAGUCUGCAUUGGAAACUGGCUUGCUUGAGUCCGGAAGAGGAGACUGGAAUUCCUGGUGUAGCGGUGAAAUGCGCAGAUAUCAGGAAGAACACCGGUGGCGAAGGCGGGUCUCUGGGACGGUACUGACGCUGAGACGCGAAAGCGUGGGUAGCAAACGGGAUUAGAUACCCUGGUAGUCCACGCCGUAAACGAUGGGCACUAGGUGUGGGAGGUGUCGACUCCUUCCGUGCCGAAGCUAACGCAUUAAGUGCCCCGCCUGGGGAGUACGGCCGCAAGGCUAAAACUCAAAUGAAUUGACGG